rnacentral:rRNA from 1 species
CCUGGUUGAUCUUGCCAGUAGUCAUAUGCUUGUCUCACAGAUUAAGCCAUGCAAGUGAAAGUACAUAUGUAAAUAAUAUAUUGAAACUGCGAACGGCUCAUUAAAACAGUUAUAAUCUACUUGAUGUUUUUAAUAUAAGGAUAACUACGGAAAAUCUGUAGCUAAUACUUGUGAAAAUACCUUUUGAUAUAUACAUAUGUAUGUAUCAUUAAGGUAUGUAUUUGUUAGAUAUAAGAAUAAAAUAAAUAUAAUUGAAUUAUAACAAAGAAGAAACACAUAAAAUAUGUGUAUUAUCAAUCGAGUAUCUGACCUAUCAGCUUUUGAUGUUAGGGUAUUGACCUAACAUGGCUAUGACGGGUAACGGGGAAUUAGAGUUCGAUUCCGGAGAGGGAGCCUGAGAAAUAGCUACCACAUCUAAGGAAGGCAGCAGGCGCGUAAAUUACCCAAUUCUAAAAAAGAGAGGUAGUGACAAGAAAUAACAAUACAAUAUCGAAAAAUGAUUUUGUAAUUGGAAUGAUAGGAAUUUACAAGGUUCCUAGAGAAACAAUUGGAGGGCAAGUCUGGUGCCAGCAGCCGCGGUAAUUCCAGCUCCAAUAGCAUAUAUUAAAAUUGUUGCAGUUAAAACGUUCGUAGUUGAAUAUUAAAGAAUCCGAUGUUUCAUUUAAACUGGUUUGGGAAAACCAAAUAUAUUAUAUAUUUUGCUUUGUUCAAAAUAAGGUUUUCUAAUAAAUUAUGUUUUUAUCAGAUAUGACAGAAUCUUUUUUAAAAUCUCUUCAAUAUGCUUUUAUUGCUUUUGAGAGGUUUUGUUACUUUGAGUAAAAUUAAGUGUUCAUAACAGACGGGUAGUCAUGAUUGAGUUCAUUGUGUUUGAAUACUACAGCAUGGAAUAACAAAUAUGAAUAAGCUAAUUAUUUUUUUUUUUCAUAAUUUUUUUUGAUAUUCUUAUUAGCUUAGUUACGAUUAAUAGGAGUAGCUUUGGGGGCAUUCGUAUUCAGAUGUCAGAGGUGAAAUUCUAAGAUUUUCUGGAGACGGACUACUGCGAAAGCAUUUGCCUAAUCUAUUUCCAUUAAUCAAGAACGAAAGUUAAGGGAGUGAAGACGAUCAGAUACCGUCGUAAUCUUAACCAUAAACUAUACCGACUAGGUGUUGGAUGAAUAUAAAAAAUAUAUAAAUAUGUAGCAUUUCUUAGGGAAUGUUGAUUUUAUAUUAGAAUUGCUUCCUUCAGUACCUUAUGAGAAAUCAAAGUCUUUGGGUUCUGGGGCGAGUAUUCGCGCAAGCGAGAAAGUUAAAAGAAUUGACGGAAGGGCACCACCAGGCGUGGAGCUUGCGGCUUAAUUUGACUCAACACGGGAAAACUCACUAGUUUAAGACAAGAGUAGGAUUGACAGAUUAAUAGCUCUUUCUUGAUUUCUUGGAUGGUGAUGCAUGGCCGUUUUUAGUUCGUGAAUAUGAUUUGUCUGGUUAAUUCCGAUAACGAACGAGAUCUUAACCUGCUAAUUAGCGGUAAGUACACUAUAUUUUUAUUUGAAAUUGAAUAUAGGUAAUUA